rnacentral:rRNA from 1 species
UACUCGAGUGGUGAACGGGUGAGUAACACGUGGGUGAUCUGCCCUGCACUUCGGGAUAAGCCUGGGAAACUGGGUCUAAUACCGGAUAGGAGCCAUUUUUAGUGUGAUGGUUGGAAAGUUUUUUCGGUGUAGGAUGAGCUCGCGGCCUAUCAGCUUGUUGGUGGGGUAAUGGCCUACCAAGGCGGCGACGGGUAGCCGGCCUGAGAGGGUGGACGGCCACAUUGGGACUGAGAUACGGCCCAG